UGCCAUAGUGAUACUCUUACUGCAGUAAGU
rnacentral:piRNA from 1 species